GGAGAGAUGGCUGAGCGGUUCAUAGCCCCGGUCUUGAAAACCGGUAUAGUUUAAUAAAGAACUAUCGAGGGUUCGAAUCCCUCUCUUUCCU
rnacentral:tRNA from 1 species